GCUGGCGGCAGGCUUACACAUGCAGUCGAGCGGGGAAAGGUAGCUUGCUACUUUACCUAGCGGCGGACGGGUGAGUAAUGCUUANGAAUCUGCCUAUUAGUGGGGGACAACAUCUCGAAAGGGAUGCUAAUACCGCAUACGUCCUACGGGAGAAAGCAGGGGACCUUCGGGCCUUGCGCUAAUAGAUGAGCCUAAGUCGGAUUAGCUAGUUGGUGGGGUAAAGGCCUACCAAGGCGACGAUCUGUAGCGGGUCUGAGAGGAUGAUCCGCCACACUGGGACUGAGACACGGCCCAGACUCCUACGGGAGGCAGCAGUGGGGAAUAUUGGACAAUGGGGGGAACCCUGAUCCAGCCAUGCCGCGUGUGUGAAGAAGGCCUUUUGGUUGUAAAGCACUUUAAGCGAGGAGGAGGCUACCGAGAUUAAUACUCUUGGAUAGUGGACGUUACUCGCAGAAUAAGCACCGGCUAACUCUGUGCCAGCAGCCGCGGUAAUACAGAGGGUGCAAGCGUUAAUCGGAUUUACUGGGCGUAAAGCGCGCGUAGGUGGCCAAUUAAGUCAAAUGUGAAAUCCCCGAGCUUAACUUGGGAAUUGCAUUCGAUACUGGUUGGCUAGAGUAUGGGAGAGGAUGGUAGAAUUC
rnacentral:rRNA from 1 species